GGGUAUUGUUCAGUGGUAGAGUGCCUGCUUAACAUGCAAGAGGUCCUGGGUUCAAUUCCCAGUAUCUACA
rnacentral:tRNA from 1 species